rnacentral:rRNA from 1 species
UACAGAGGUGGCAAGCGUUGUUCGGAAUUACUGGGCGUAAAGGGCGAGUAGGUGGCCAUCUAAGUCAGACGUGAAAUCCCCCGGCUUAACCUGGGAACUGCGUCUGAUACUGGACGGCUUGAGUAUGGGAGAGGAACGUAGAAUUCCAGGUGUAGCGGUGAAAUGCGUAGAUAUCGGGAGGAACACCAGUGGCGAAGGCGACUACCUGGCCCAUUCUUGACGCUGAGGCGCGAAAGCUAGGGGAGCGAACGGG